GACGAACGCUGGCGGCGUGCUUAACACAUGCAAGUCGAACGGAAAGGCCCUGCUUUUGUGGGGUGCUCGAGUGGCGAACGGGUGAGUAACACGUGAGUAACCUGCCCUUGACUUUGGGAUAACUUCAGGAAACUGGGGCUAAUACCGGAUAGGAGCUCCUGCUGCAUGGUGGGGGUUGGAAAGUUUCGGCGGUUGGGGAUGGACUCGCGGCUUAUCAGCUUGUUGGUGGGGUAGUGGCUUACCAAGGCUUUGACGGGUAGCCGGCCUGAGAGGGUGACCGGCCACAUGGGGACUGAGUUACGGCCAAGACUCCUACGGGAGGAAGAAGUGGGGAAUAUGGCAAAAGGGGCGGAAGCCUGAUGAAGAAACGCGGGGUGCGGGAUGAGGGCCUUCGGGUUGUAAACCGCUUUCGCCGGUGACGAAGCGUGGGUGACGGUAAUGGGUAAAGAAGCACCGGCAAACUACGU
rnacentral:rRNA from 1 species